rnacentral:rRNA from 1 species
AGUAGUAUAUAUAGUAGUAGUAGUAAGUUAUAGUAGUAGCAUUACUAAGUAAUGAAAGGUAGCAAUACGCUAUAUGAGAGCUUUGCAUCCUAUUAGCUAGUUGGUGGGGUAAAAGCCUACCAAGGCGAUGAUAGGUAGCCGGCCUGAGAGGGUGGACGGCCACAAGGGGACUGAGAUACGGCCCUUACUCCUACGGGAGGCAGCAGGC